UCAGACGGCCGGACGGUCGCUGGGCGCCUUGGGGCGCCUGGAGGAAAGUCCGGGCUCCACGGGAAUACGGUGCCGGGUAACACCCGGCGGGGGCGACCCCAGGGAAAGUGCCACAGAGAACAGACCGCCGGCGUCCGCGCCGGUAAGGGUGAAACGGGGCGGUAAGAGCGCACCGCGGUCCUGGCGACAGGGCCGGCACGGCAAACCCCACCGGGAGCAAGACCGAAUAGGGGCGAUCGCUCGGGGCCGAAAGGCUGCCGAGAGGCGCAUUUCCGCGCUGUCGCCCGGGUUGGUCGCGCGAGGCGUCCGGUAACGGACGUCCCAGAUGAAUGACCGUCCCUCGCCCGAAAGGCGGGGACAGAACCCGGCUUACAGGCCGUCUGACCCA
rnacentral:RNase_P_RNA from 1 species